rnacentral:lncRNA from 1 species
UUCCAGAUAUUCAUUGUUUUAUUGACGGCAUACACUAAUUUGCUUCUUUUAAAUCAUUACCUUCACCUUUCAAACUUGUUUCCUAACUGGCAUAGCCGUGAACGAUGAUGUAUUUGUGCGGGCUCAUGAAGAAUGCCGCAACUCAUGAGGAAGCAGACGAAUAUAAAAGACCCUCCUCCUUCACCGUGCAUCGCUCUUUGGUACAUUGUGG